rnacentral:misc_RNA from 1 species
GUUGGCAUUCCGAAUCUCUCAGCAUGUCCUCGCAUUGAGAGAAAUUGUCCUUCAAUUAUUGCACGCACCUCAGAAGGAUGAUCAAACUCUUCAACCUCAUGCUCCUUCAACUCACCCAAUGAGUUGGUAUUGAAGUUGUCAAUCACAAAUCGAUGGAAUCCAACUGGCAGGGGAGGCAGAAUUUCAUGCUCCUUGUAGUAGA